UUGGCCUCUGGGGCCUGUUUAUUUGUGUGUGAAUGUGUGUGGGAGAGGACAGCUUCCCCAAGAACUCUGAGGUAGAGUGCCAUUCUCUUGGAGAAGAGGUCAUGGUACAGAGACUCACAGUAUAGUGGAUGGAGUACUGAAUUUGGAAUCAGAAAGGAUGAGCUUUGAAUCCUAGCUCAGACGCUUAUUAGUUAUGUGACCCUGGUUGCAGUUUCUACGAAAGAGAAGUCUGCAUCUUGCACGCUCUGGAGAGUCUUUGUAGCUGGUGGUGUAGCUACAGCAACUGCUUCAUGGAUUUCCUUCUCUUAUGAAAUAUGCAAGAUACAGUGGUCACUGUGGAAGAAAACCAAGGGACUGAGUCUGGACCAGAGAGUGACAAAGAGGAGAUGUUCCCAAAGAGAGGGAAGGAGGAGUAAUAAAAGGAGAUGGGGGGAAGCAAAUGCUUAUUAAAUGAAAAAAUAAUUUUAAAAAAGAAUCUCAGACCAACCCUUCCCCAAGUAUCACCUCUACAAUAUCCGUGAUGAGUGAUCAUCCACCUUCUACCGGGAGACCUCCAGUGAUAGGGCAGCUCUAAAUACAAGACAAUUUUCCUUAUAUUAACCUUCAAUUUGCUUCUCUGUGACUCCUACCCAUUGCUUCUGAUUCUGUUCUCUGGGACUAAGUCUGCUCUCUCCUCUUAAGUGACAAGCCUUCAAAUAUUUGAAAACAAUGAUCAUCCCCCACCUCAAUAA